GACGAACGCUGGCGGCGUGCUUAACACAUGCAAGUCGAACGGAAAGGCCCUGCUUUUGUGGGGUGCUCGAGUGGCGAACGGGUGAGUAACACGUGAGUAACCUGCCCUUGACUUUGGGAUAACUUCAGGAAACUGGGGCUACUACCGGAUAGGAGCUCCUGCUGCAUGGUGGGGGUUGGAACGUUUCGGCGGUUGGGGAUGGACUCGCGGCUUAUCAGCUUGUUGGUGGGGUAGUGGCUUACCAAGGCUUUGACGGGUAGCCGGCCUGAGAGGGUGACCGGCCACAUUGGGACUGAGAUACGGCGCAGACUCCUACGGGAGGCAGAAGUGGGGAAUAUUGCACAAUGGGCGGAAGCCUGAUGCAGCAACGCCGCGUGCGGGAUGACGGCCUUCGGGUUGUAAACCGCUUUCGCCUGUGACGAAGCGUGAGUGACGGUAAUGGGUAAAGAAGCACCGGCUAACUACGUG
rnacentral:rRNA from 1 species